UUUCAUUCAAUGACACAGUUAGGACUAUAGGAAUAUAUUUAGCUUUUAUUUCUCUGUGUUUGGAUUGAGCGAUUGUUUUUGGUUAUGUUGUGCAGGAUAAAUAGAUAAAGCCAAAAAGAGUAAAGAUUAGAUGGAAGAAAAUAGAAGUAGGUGUUGAGACAAUGGGAAAACCAGUUGAAGGACCAAAAGAAGUUCAAAGCAGGGAAACAAGCAUAGUAGAAGUGCCAUUGAAUCGAAGAGAAGCAACUUAAAUCGAAGACACCACACAUAUUCAGGUCGUGCUUGGGCCCAUCCCCAUGUCCCAUAACCCAUAGUCAUGUUCCACCACCCAUAUUCACGCAUCGCUAAUCCCACAGCCAUGAUCAUGUACCUAGGCCGUGCCCAUCACCCACGGUCGUAUGUCAUGCAGUUGUUGAAGACCACUCAAAGAGGCCACGAUCCAUGACCAGGUCGUGUCCCAAACAAAUGGUCGUGGAUUUCCUGAUUCUAUUCCUACUUUUCAGAUUUGUUUCGUUGGGCUUAGCCUAAUCCCUUAUAACUAGGAUAAAUGAGAGUUCUCCCUCAAAAAUUGAACACAUUUUUACAUUGUUUAGGUUUUAACAUUGCUAUUCUCUUGAUUAGAAUUUUGUAAUCUCAUCCC
rnacentral:lncRNA from 1 species